rnacentral:lncRNA from 1 species
AAUCCAUAGUCACCAUCAACUUCUGUUGGGAGAACAGAGAAAGAUAGACUAAGAGAAACAGAGAUAGAAAAUGUUUAAUCCUGUAUUGUGGCUUACUGUAGCUCUUCAUAUUCCCUUGAAUUUUAGACUAGAUUUCCUCCAAAAUUCUGUGAACUUGGGGAUAUAUAUGAUUGCCAGAUGUCUGACACCUUUCUAGAUUUGGAACUGUCUGGAAUCUAAUUUCUUCUGCUAACCCAUAGUAUAUGAAAGAAAGUAACACACACACUAUUAAGACAAACUAGAAAAUAUCAUAAAGAGGCUGGAUGCAGUGGCUCAUGCCUGUAAUCCCAGCACUUUGGGAGGCCGAGGUGGGUGGAUCACUUGAGGCCGGGAAUUGGAGACCAGUCUGGCAAACAUGGCAAAACCCAGUCUACACUAAAAAUACAAAAAUUAGCCAGACGUGAUGGCGUAUGCCUGUAGUCCCAGCUGUUGGGGAGGCUGAGGCACGAGAAUUGCUUGAACCCGGGAGGUGGAGGUUGCAGUGAGCCGAAAUUGCGCCACUGCACUCCAGCCUAGGUGACAGAGACUCUGUCUCAAAAAAAAAAAGAGACCGGGCGCGGUGGCUCACGCCUGUAAUCCCAGCACUUUGGGAGGCUGAGGUGGGCGGAUCACGAGGUCAGGGAUGGAGACCAUCCUGGCUAACACAGUG